CACGCUCGCCUGCUUCCUUAAAUCUUCAGAUUAAGAAAACCGGCAGCGGCGCCUGUGGCCGCCCACCGCGGCACAUGGGCGCGGCCAUCUUGGGGGCGGGGCCGACCCGCCGGCGCUCUGGUCUCAGGUCAGGGGUCAGAGAGCAGGGGUCAGGCUCAGCCUGGGAAGGGGCCUGGAGAAGCACCUGGCAGCUGGACUGGAGGGCCGGCAGCAUGCACAAGUGAGGAGGGAACCGUGAUGCCUGGUUCUCCUGACAGAAGCCGAGGCGCUGCAGUUUCUGGGACCCUGGGGGUCUCUGGAAAAUCUGCGUUUUUGAAAACAGAGCAUGAAGUGGGGAGAGCUGUUUCACUGGCAAGGCCAGCCUGCAACGUGGCCUGCCGAAAAAGGCCUGUAGUGCCCUUGAGGCAAGCUUUCUGUUUCCUGUCAGGGCCUGGAGGAAAGAGGCCAAGUGUGUGCUGUGGGCUUGGACCUGCCUGGUGACUGAGCAGGACUCCUUGGUCCGGGCAAGCGGGGCCUGGGCCCAGUACACCCAGUUCCUCCUGUGCGACAGCCAACACGUGCCAGGCACUGCACAGAAGCACGUGACAAAAGCAGUCAUGGGAGCCAACGUACAGUUAUUUCCUUUUCCAUUUGAACAUAUUGCCCUGUCCCUCUCUUUCCCUUGCCCCUCUGCGCCUUAACUAAUAUUCCCCAGGUUGGUUGGAUAAAUCAUGGCCCAAAUCUGCAACGUGGAAGUGCCCUGGGAAGUGACUGUCCAAGCCUUGUGCAGAAAUCCCCGGAGAAGAGUCUGUUUUCUGCCAGGCAUGCGAGUGGGACUUGCCCCCUACUGUGAAUUCUUGGUGCAUUGGUACACGAUGGCCAGGUUCACAGCUCCUAACCUCUUUAUUUCCGGAGAAGAGGUGACCUGCUAACCUCUUCUGACACCACUGUCAGGAGGCAGGAAAAGAUGAGUAGAGUUAGUGUGGCCAUGUCCUGAGGACAGUAGAGAAAGCCCCAGCUGUAGAAAGACCUGGUCUCUGGCCCUGCUCAGACUGUCCCCAUCUGCUGACUGUGCGGGAACGAGUGCUGGCCUGGAAGAGACAGGGUGGCAGAGGCCGUGCGGUGGUUGCUCCGGCAGUGCCCGCAUUUCCUGGUGGGACUUGGGCACCUAGGAACCAAGAAACGUGCCGUGGUGUCUUUCCAGCCCACACUCUGUCUGGCUGUUGGAAUCUACGAAUCCACAGAAGAGAAGGCUUGGUUCUGCCACUGACUGGCCCAUUGGGCCGCAGUCCUUCUGUGUCGUAGCUGAGGACCCGCUGCCCAAACGCCCAUCGUGUCUGUUCCUGGGAACAUCUUCAGAGCUCCCGGCCCAGGGCUUGGCCCACAGCAGGCACCUGAAUAAAAGUUGGCAGCAAAUAAAGAAGAGAAGAUUUUUCAAGAGAAGAUUCUGCGCACCUCUCUAUUGAAAAUGGAGCAUGAAAAAAUAAAAUUCAACAGGCUUAAGUGAUGGUGGAGCCACUGCAUGAAUUUCACUCUAUUAUUGAAUGAAGAAAGCCGAGGCUGGUGAUACUGAGAAAGCGUGAGAGAGAAAAAAAGAUAUCACAGUGACAGCACACUCCUGCAGCGGUCCAUCUGAAAGCAAGCAAAGCAAUCCCUGAAGGGGGCUGAGAACUGAGAGCUACCAGUAGGCAGCCCUCCCGGUAACCUGCAACAAGUUCUUCAUUUCUGAAGGAGGAUGUGGGCAGCACAUCACAGUAUCCACCACAGCUUCAUGCAACCAAUGUUGGAGGGCACUAAGACAAUUUACCUAGAUCCAAUAAGCAGGAAAUUCAAGCUACCUGGGGCAGAAAUGUACCCCCACCCCGCCUCAACGGUUCACUUGUAAUGAUACAGUCAAAACAUCUAGUAAUUAAAUUCUAGUCAAUUGAUUAAAU